CACCUGGUAGCGCAUGGUGUGCGUCUGCAUGGUUUUGGUGAAUAAGGUUGAAGGUAUUUCUGCAGAAGACCCCCGUUCGAUUCGGGGCCGGGUGA